rnacentral:sRNA from 1 species
AUGAGUAAACCAUAAAUGGUUUACUAUAUGUAAUAGGAAUUAAUGUAUAAGUUGGAAAUCAGUAAAGUUAUGAUUUGAUUCUCACGUAUCAACCAUACAUUACAUUCUAAGUAUGUUUUCAUUAAGUCCUAUUAAUAAUAUAUGAUUAUGAUACUUUACUUGACAACCAAGAAGCAAAGUUUUUAGCUUUCCCUUAUGGACGAAAUCUAAAGCUUUUGGCUGGUAUAUAAACACCGAUCCCUGCAAAUUCCCUAGACACAACAACUAAGGCUUCCCAUAGAGCAUUGUAAUCAAGCUAGGAGUUCGCGGAAGACUUGGUGUUUUGUCAUUCUCGAUCGGUUCUUCACAAGAUCAUUGUUUCCAUGGCUGCAGCUGCACCUUCUUCAGAGCUUAAGGCCAAGUCAGAAAGGUUAUCACGUUGAAGUAAAGGUGGUUCAGAUAAGAACACAUGCAUGAAGGUCGCGCAACAUCUGUAUGAUCCAAUAAACUUUAGAAGCAAUGUUCGGCAAAUGAAGUUGUUAAACGCCGAAGAAUUCAUACACUGACACGCAUGGUUCAUCGAAAACGCUGUCUGGUACGAUGAAGGAUAUUUCAACACGCCCUCACGUGGGACCCAAUUAGUGGGUUACACGUGGGAGAUCCACACAUCGACAACCACAUGGAGCCUAGGGAACUCACCCUACACGCAGGGCCAAGGGACCCACCAUCAUCGCAAGGGGCCAAGGGGACCCACCCAUCACGUGGCAGUAUGGGCCUGCUCGCUUACUCUAAUUCUAUGUUGAAAAUAUGUGAAUUAUGAGAGAAUUUCUCCUGUAUUGAUUGGUCAAUAAUAUUACAAGAUGUAGAGCUAUAUUUAUACAAUCUAUAAUGAUCUAUUCUAG